AUUGAACGCUGGCGGCAUGCCUUACACAUGCAAGUCGAGCGGUAACAGGUCUUCGGACGCUGACGAGUGGCGAACGGGUGAGUAAUACAUCGGAACGUGCCCAGUCGUGGGGGAUAACUACUCGAAAGAGUAGCUAAUACCGCAUACGAUCUGAGGAUGAAAGCGGGGGACCUUCGGGCCUCGUGCGAUUGGAGCGGCCGAUGGCAGAUUAGGUAGUUGGUGGGAUAAAAGCUUACCAAGCCGACGAUCUGUAGCUGGUCUGAGAGGACGACCGGCCACACUGGGACUGAGACACGGCCCAGACUCCUACGGGAGGCAGCAGUGGGGAAUUUUGGACAAUGGGCGAAAGCCUGAUCCAGCAAUGCCGCGUGCAGGAUGAAGGCCUUCGGGUUGUAAACUGCUUUUGUACGGAACGAAAAAGCUCCUUCUAAUACAGGGGGCCCAUGACGGUACCGUAAGAAUAAGCACCGGCUAACUACGUGCCAGCCGCCGCCGUAAUAC
rnacentral:rRNA from 1 species